GACGAACGCUGGCGGCGUGCUUAACACAUGCAAGUCGAACGAAGAGCGAUGGAAGCUUGCUUCUAUCAAUCUUAGUGGCGAACGGGUGAGUAACGCGUAAUCAACCUGCCCUUCAGAGGGGGACAACAGUUGGAAACGACUGCUAAUACCGCAUACGAUCUAAUCUCGGCAUCGAGGAUAGAUGAAAGGUGGCCUCUACAUGUAAGCUAUCACUGAAGGAGGGGAUUGCGUCUGAUUAGCUAGUUGGAGGGGUAACGGCCCACCAAGGCGAUGAUCAGUAGCCGGUCUGAGAGGAUGAACGGCCACAUUGGGACUGAGACACGGCCCAGACUCCUACGGGAGGCAGCAGUGGGGAAUCUUCCGCAAUGGACGAAAGUCUGACGGAGCAACGCCGCGUGAGUGAUGACGGCCUUCGGGUUGUAAAGCUCUGCUAAUCGGGACGAAAGGCCUUCUUGCGAAUAGUGAGAAGGAUUGACGGUACCGGAAUAGAAAGCCACGGCUAACUACGUG
rnacentral:rRNA from 1 species